rnacentral:rRNA from 1 species
UACGGGGGGGGCAAGCGUUGUUCGGAAUUACUGGGCGUAAAGGGCUGGUAGGCGGCCAACUAAGUCGGAUGUGAAAUCCCCAGGCUUAACCUGGGAACUGCAUCCGAUACUGGUCGGCUUGAAUCCGGGAGAGGGAUGCAGAAUUCCAGGUGUAGCGGUGAAAUGCGUAGAUAUCUGGGGAGAUACCGGUGGCGAAGGCGGCAUCCUGGACCGGCAUUGACGCUGAACAGCGAAAGCUAGGGGAGCAAACGGG